rnacentral:rRNA from 1 species
AGGACGAACGCUGGCGGCGUGCUUAACACAUGCAAGUCGAGCGGAAAGGCCCUUCGGGGUACUCGAGCGGCGAACGGGUGAGUAACACGUGAGCAACCUGCCCUUAGCUCCGGGAUAGCUCCGGGAAACCGGAAUUAAUACCGGAUACAACCACGGCCGACAUCUGCUGUGGUGGAAAGGAUUCCGGCUAAGGAUGGGCUCGCGGCCUAUCAGCUAGUUGGUGGAGUAACGGCCCACCAAGGCGACGACGGGUAGCCGGCCUGAGAGGGCGACCGGCCACACUGGGACUGAGACACGGCCCAGACUCCUACGGGAGGCAGCAGUGGGGAAUAUUGCGCAAUGGGCGAAAGCCUGACGCAGCGACGCCGCGUGGGGGAUGAAGGCCUUCGGGUUGUAAACCCCUUUCAGCAGGGACGAAGCGAAAGUGACGGUACCUGCAGAAGAAGCGCCGGCUAACUACGCGCCAGCAGCCGC